GGAGUUUAUUUUGUCGUGGUAAUUUUUGUGCGUGCGGGCUUGUAGUGGCGGCGCGCGCGGGAAAGCCUGAUCCACAAUGCCGCGUGCACGAUGAAGGCCUUCAGGUUGUAAACUGCUUUUGUACGGAACGAAAAGGCGCCUACUAAAACGGGGGGUUGAUGACGGUACCGUAAGAAUAAGCCCCGGCUAACUACGUGCCAGCAACCGCGGUAAUUAGGUCUUGCGUACGGAGCACCAAAAAAAAAAAUUUGGCAUGGGCGGAAAACUAACCCAUGCGGCGGGGGGGAGAAGCAGAUAUUGUUACUUUUGUUAUUUAAAAAAAAAACAAAAUACGAGGGGGUUGGGUGAGAUAACUAAAAAAAAAACCCCACCCCCCACCCCCCCCAAAAAAUAAAAAAAAAA
rnacentral:rRNA from 1 species